GACUAAUCAAGAUCGUGUAUCUGAAGUUCUCAACAAAGCCAUCACCGCGCUCAAAUUUGAACCCGAGCGUCCUCAGCAAUUUGCUCUAGCACAGAUCAUUGAAUCAAAUAAAGUGCUCAUACUUCCGGCCGAUGCCAUCCUGUAUUAUGCAAUGAACAAGAAAGUGAAUCAUGACUUCAUCCUGAGAUUCACUGAAAGAAGAUCUUCAUGUCUAUGCAAGUUUUAGCUGUAAGGAACAUAAUGUUUCAUGGGACUCUGUUGGAUCUAAAAUCUCUGCUCAGUACCAAAAACCCUGCAAUAUAUGAAUAAAUUACUUUGGCAGUGUUCUACUUUAAAUUAUUGGACAAUUUGGAGAGAGUGACUUGACUUCAGACAAUUGCUUAACAUUAACUUUUGAGUCCAGUGCUUGUUUGUCCUUUUCAAACAUCUUGCACAUCAGCUAUUUUUUCUGGAAUGCUGGAGAAUUGAACCCUGCCACCGGUCUUCUAUGAACAUCACAGUCAUGUAUCAAUUGGUUGGAUGAGAAAAAGAAUCGUUUACGUAUCAAUCUUGUUGACCAAUUGUGAUUGAAUUUGCUUGGGUUCCUCAAUGGUUGUUUGGUUAAAAAGCAAACCAGCCAUUUGUUCAGCCAAUGGCAGGAUGAUGAAUACUUCAACUGAAGUGUUUGGUUUGGCCUUUAAACUCUUCAGCACUCCAUUCCUGCCUUCAAUAUUUUUAUUUCUCCAGUGGUUUAAACUAAUUUGGACAGAAUGCCAUUGACAUGCCUUCAACAAAGGGCAAUGUUCGAGCCUCCUUCCCAAUGUGAAUCAAUGAGCUCUGGUGAGGAAGGGCUUUAGAGAGCUCACCGCCCUGAUUUUUGAGAGGUCAUAUGUAUUUUAUUUCCUUCUCCUCCUGUAAAUCGCUUGGUGCUCGACAUAGGAUUCACUAAUUAGACAUUUACACAUAACCACUUUAAAAUUAAAAUGGUUCACCAUCGAGGCUAUGCCAACAAUACCAGCCACAGGUAGAAGAGAAAAUCAUCUGAGUUCUUUGUCUAAGUUUGUUUCUAAAAAUAGUGUUCAGUAAAUGUUUUCAAUGUUCUUACAUUUGUUUUAAAUUAAAAAACUUAAAUUGCAA